rnacentral:lncRNA from 1 species
CAAAAGAAAAUAAUUCCCUAAUUAUAUUGUUUUUUUUGGCUCUUCUACUUAUCUUUAUUUAUGACUAUUUUACCAGGACAGCCAAAUGUUAUCUUAGCCUCGAAGUACCCAUCGAUUUAUCAUCAAAAUACUAAAAAGCAUUGUAGUUGAAAUAUGUGUCUUGAGAAAACAUAUCAAUUAUGGCUAAAAUCUUUAUCUCAAAGGUGUAAUUAGUGCUAAUGACACAUGCGUGUGACAGUAUGUUACAAAUUAAUGGUACUGAGUUUUGUGAGUGACCUCCUACCUCUCCAAACCAGUUUCCAAUAAUUAGAUGCUUAAGCGGCAUGUCAUCUUACUUCCUAUAUGUCCGCACUAUAUGUGUUGAAAUUUUGAUUUCCUCACAAUUGUAUGCUCUCGACUUACCACACAUGCUUUCAGAGCCUCUGUCAAAAUAUGGC